rnacentral:rRNA from 2 species
CGGGUUGUCAUGCCAAUGGCACUGCCCGGUAGCUAAAUGCGGAAGAGAUAAGUGCUGAAAGCAUCUAAGCACGAAACUUGCCCCGAGAUGAGUUCUCCCUGAGACUUUAAGUCUCCUGAAGGAACGUUGAAGACGACGACGUUGAUAGGCCGGGUGUGUAAGCGCAGCGAUGCGUUGAGCUAACCGGUACUAAUGAACCGUGAGGCUUAACCUUACAACGCCGAAG